UCCUACGGGAGGCAGCAGUGGGGAAUAUUGCACAAUGGGGGAAACCCUGAUGCAGCAACGCCGCGUGAAUGAUGAAGGCCUUCGGGUCGUAAAGCUCUUUGAUCAGGGAUGAUAAUGACAGUACCUGAAAAACAAGCCACGGCUAACUACGUGCCAGCAGCCGCGGUAAUACGUAGGUGGCGAGCGUUGUCCGGAAUUAUUGGGCGUAAAGGAUGCGUAGGUGGAUAUUUAAGUGAGAUGUGAAAUCCCCGGGCUCAACCCGGGAACUGCAUUUCAAACUGGAUGUCUAGAGUGCAGGAGAGGAAAGCGGAAUUCCUAGUGUAGCGGUGAAAUGCGUAGAUAUUAGGAGGAACACCAGUGGCGAAGGCGGCUUUCUGGACUGUAACUGACACUGAGGCAUGAAAGCGUGGGUAGCAAACAGGAUUAGAUACCCUGGUAGUCCACGCCGUAAACGAUGGGUACUAGGUGUAGGAGGUAUCGACCCCUUCUGUGCCGUCGUUAACACAAUAAGUACCCCGCCUGGGGAGUACGGUCGCAAGACUAAAACUCAAAGGAAUUGACGGGGGCCCGCACAAGCAGCGGAGCAUGUGGUUUAAUUCGAAGCAACGCGAAGAACCUUACCUAGACUUGACAUCUCCUGAAUUACCCGUAACUGGGGAAGCUCUUCGGAGCAGGAAGACAGGUGGUGCAUGGUCGUCGUCAGCUCGUGUCGUGAGAUGUUGGGUUAAGUCCCGCAACGAGCGCAACCCUUAUUUUUAGUUGCUACCAUUUAGUUGAGCACUCUAAAGAGACUGCCCGGGUUAACCGGGAGGAAGGUGGGGAUGACGUCAAGUCAUCAUGCCCCUUAUGUCUAGGGCUACACACGUGCUACAAUGGUGAGAACAAAGAGACGCAAUACCGCGAGGUCAAGCAAAUCUCAUAAAUCUCAUCCCAGUUCGGAUUGCAGGCUGAAACUCGCCUGCAUGAAGCCGGAGUUGCUAGUAAUCGCGAAUCAGCAUGUCGCGGUGAAUACGUUCCCGGGCCUUGUACACACCGCC
rnacentral:rRNA from 1 species